GUGUCAGCAGCCGCGGUAAUACGGAGGGUGCGAGCGUUGUCCGGAAUCACUGGGCGUAAAGGGCGCGUAGGCGGCGCGGUAAGCGUGCGGUGAAAGCCCGGGGCUCAACCCCGGGUCGGCCGUGCGAACUGCCGCGCUCGAGCACUGUAGAGGCAGGUGGAAUUCCGGGUGUAGCGGUGGAAUGCGUAGAGAUCCGGAAGAACACCGGUGGCGAAGGCGGCCUGCUGGGCAGUAGCUGACGCUGAGGCGCGACAGCGUGGGGAGCAAACAGGAUUAGAAACCCCCGUAGUCC
rnacentral:rRNA from 1 species